rnacentral:rRNA from 1 species
GACGAACGCUGGCGGCGUGCUUAACACAUGCAAGUCGAACGGAAAGGCCCUGCGUUUGUGGGGUUCUCGAUUGGCGAACGGGUGAGUAACACGUGAGUAACCUGCCCUUGACUUUGGGAUAACUUCAGGAAACUGGGGCUAAUACCGGAUAGGAGCUCCUGCUGCAUGGUGGGGGUUGGAAAGUUUCGGCGGUUGGGGAUGGACUCGCGGCUUAUCAGCUGGUUGGUGAGGUAGUGGCUUACCAAGGCUUUGACGGGUAGCCGGCCUGAGAGGGUGACCGGCCACAUUGGGACUGAGAUACGGACCAGACUCCUACGGGAGGCAGCAGUGGGGAAUAUUGCACAAUGGGCGGAAGCCUGAUGCAGCAACGCCGCGUGCGGGAUGACGGCCUUCGGGUUGUAAACAGCUUUCGACUGUGACGAAGCGUGAGUGACGGUAAUGGGUAAAGAAGCAACGGCUAACUACGUG